rnacentral:telomerase_RNA from 11 species
GGUUUGUCGGGGUGUUCUUUCUAACCCUAAGUGAGGGUGUCCUCCUGUACUCAUCGUUUGUUGUUUUUCCGUCUCUGGCUUUCAGCAAACUACAGGAGGUAUUUUCAAGUAGCGUUCAUGGCGUCUAGGAACCAAAAAAAGCGCAGAGAAUCACUCCGUCGUGUUCAGUUUCCCGUCAGAAACAUCGUGAAUUAGCGCCGCGGUCAGCCUGGCUGCCGCGAAGAGUUGGUCUCUGCUGCUCCGGUGUGUUCGUGUCGGGAUCCACAGAAACUGAGCAGAUUAAACUGAGCAGGGCUCCUGAACCGAACCUAGCAGUGGUCCGGGACGGAGGCCCGAGCUCAAACAAUC